rnacentral:tRNA from 1 species
UGGGUUGUGACUCAGUGGUAGAGUGCUUGCCUAGCAUGUGAGCCACUAGGUUCGAUUCUUAGCAGUGUAU